AUGAACGCUGGCGGCGUGCCUAAUCCCUGCAAGUCGAGCGAACAGACGAGGAGCUUGCUCCUCUGACGUUAGCGGCGGCCGGGUGAGUAACACGUGGAUAACCUACCUAUCAGACUGGGAUAACUUCGGGAAACCGGAGCUAAUACCGGAUAAUAUAUUGAACCGCAUGGUUCAAUAGUGAAAGACGGUUUUGCUGUCACUUAUAGCUGGAUCCGCGCCGCAUUAGCUAGUUGGUAAGGUAACGGCUUACCAAGGCAACGAUGCGUAGCCGACCUGAGAGGGGGGUCGGCCACACUGGAAGUGAGACACGGUCCAGACUCCUACGGGAGGCAGCAGUAGGGAACCUUCCGCAAUGGGCGAAAGCCUGACGGAGCAACGCCGAGUGAGUGAUGAAGGUCUUCGGAUCGUAAAACUCUGUUAUUAGGGAAGAACAAAUGUGUAAGUAACUAUGCACGUCUUGACGGUACCUAAUCAGAAAGCCACGGCUAACUACGUG
rnacentral:rRNA from 1 species